rnacentral:rRNA from 1 species
GAGUUUGAUCAUGGCUCAGAGUGAACGCUGGCGGUAGGCCUAACACAUGCAAGUCGAACGGCAGCACAGUAAGAGCUUGCUCUUAUGGGUGGCGAGUGGCGGACGGGUGAGGAAUACAUCGGAAUCUACUUUUUCGUGGGGGAUAACGUAGGGAAACUUACGCUAAUACCGCAUACGACCUACGGGUGAAAGCAGGGGAUCUUCGGACCUUGCGCGAUUGAAUGAGCCGAUGUCGGAUUAGCUAGUUGGCGGGGUAAAGGCCCACCAAGGCGACGAUCCGUAGCUGGUCUGAGAGGAUGAUCAGCCACACUGGAACUGAGACACGGUCCAGACUCCUACGGGAGGCAGCAGUGGGGAAUAUUGGACAAUGGGCGCAAGCCUGAUCCAGCCAUACCGCGUGGGUGAGAAGGCCUCGGUUGU